rnacentral:rRNA from 1 species
CUACGGGUCGCUCCAGUGGGGAAUAUUGGACAAUGGGGGAAACCCUGAUCCAGCAAUGCCGCGUGUGUGAAGAAGGCCUGCGGGUUGUAAAGCACUUUCGGUUGGGAGGACUGCUUCUAGCACUAAUAUUGUUGGAAGUUGACGUUACCUCCAGAAGAAGCACCGGCUAACUCGCGUGCCAGCAGCCGCGGUAAUACGGAGGGUGCAAGCUUUAAUCGGAAUUACUGGGCGUAAAGCGCGCGUAGGCGGCUAGAUCAGUCGGGUGUGAAAGCCCCGGGCUUAACCUGGGAACUGCAUCCGAUACUGUCUAGCUUGAGUACAGGAGAGGAGAGGGGAAUUCCACAUGUAGCGGUGACAUGCGUAGAUAUGUGGAGGAACACCAAUGGCGAAGGCAGCUCUCUGGCCUGAUACUGACGCUGAGGUGCGAAAGCGUGGGGAGCAAACAGGAUUAGAUACCCUCGUAGUC